rnacentral:rRNA from 1 species
AUUGAACGCUGGCGGCAUGCCUUACACAUGCAAGUCGAACGGCAGCAUGGAGAGCUUGCUCUCUGAUGGCGAGUGGCGAACGGGUGAGUAAUGCAUCGGAACGUACCGUGUAAUGGGGGAUAACGUAGCGAAAGUUACGCUAAUACCGCAUACGACCGGAGGGUGAAAGCAGGGGAUCGCAAGACCUUGCGUUAUACGAGCGGCCGAUGUCAGAUUAGCUAGUUGGUGAGGUAAAGACUCACCAAGGCGACGAUCUGUAGCGGGUCUGAGAGGAUGAUCCGCCACACUGGGACUGAGACACGGCCCAGACUCCUACGGGAGGCAGCAGUGGGGAAUUUUGGACAAUGGGGGCAACCCUGAUCCAGCCAUGCCGCGUGAGUGAAGAAGGCCUUCGGGUUGUAAAGCUCUUUCGGCCGGGAAGAAAUCGCACAGGCUAAUACUCUGUGUGGAUGACGGUACCGGCAUAAGAAGCACCGGCUAACUACGUGCCAGCAGCCGCCGUAA